GGGAUGCUGCCAGCUCCUGAGGAGGGACAGCCUGCGCUCCAGGAUCUGGAAGCCAGCCAAGGUGGGAUGUGUCCCCUGUAGCGUCGUGCUCCAUCAGGAACAGCCCAGAGGACCCCUCGACAUUGAAAGACCGGAGGUUCUGCUAUUGGACAGAAAUGAGAAAGAAGAGUCUAAGAUGACCAUACUGAUUCCCCACCCACCAAUUACUGAGCAGAAUGAGUUUGAAGGCCAAAAUAUACUACUUUUGCAUCUGCUGAGAACAGCUGAAUGAAGCAGUGCCAGAAGCUGAUCCUGCACACGAAGAGUGGAAAGCUGUUUUGCAACAUCUCCUGUAAUCAUAUUUGGAAAGGAUCAACUGAGAAGCAUUGGAAAUUGAUGUC